AACGCACAUUGCGCCCUCUGGUAUUCCGGGGGGCAUGCCUGUUCGAGCGUCAUUUCAACCUUCAAGCAUAGCUUGGUUUUGGGUGUCGUCCUCGCCCGUAGGACGCACCUGAAAGUUAGCGGCAGAACGGCCGGUGGUCGAGCGUAGUAAAAAUAUUGCUUUCCGCUCAAGAUUCCACCUGGGCGUCCUAGCCGGACAACCCACCCAAUUUUUUUCAAUGGUUGACCUCGGAUCAGGUAGGGAUACCCGCUGAACUUAA
rnacentral:misc_RNA from 1 species